rnacentral:sRNA from 1 species
CCCUAUUGGCUCCCCAGGCCGGUCCCCUCGCUUGGGCCCCAGCCCUCGCUGGUUCCCCCCAACUCAGGUGGUGUUUGAGAAGGGCGGAGUGUACCUGCACACCAGCGCUAAGAAGUAUCAGGACCGAGACUCUCUCAUCGCUGGUGUCAUCCGUGUCGUGGAAAAGGACAAUGACGUCCUCUUGCACUGGGCUCCUGUAGAGGAGGCUGGAGAUUCCACCCAAAUCCUCUUCUCCAAGAAGGACUCCAGUGGGGGUGACUCCUGCGCUUCUGAGGAGGAACCAACCUUUGACCCCGGCUAUGAACCUGACUGGGCUGUCAUCAGCACUGUGCGGCCACAGCCCCGCCACUCAGAGCCCACGAGAGAGUCCAGCUGCCCCCAGGGCUCCUGGGCCUUCUCAGUGAGUCUGGGGGAGCUCAAGUCCAUCCGCCGCUCCAAGCCGGGCCUCAGCUGGGCCUACCUGGUUCUGGUGACCCAGGCUGGAGGUUCCCUGCCUGCACUGCACUUCCACCGCGGGGGCACCCGCGCCCUGCUCCGCGUCCUCAGCCGCUACCUG